rnacentral:lncRNA from 1 species
AGACACUUGCUUAUGCCCUGUAGUUGGAGGGUCCAUGGUCCUCACCCGUCUUAACUGGCGGGCGCUGGAACUGGAUGCUGCUGACUCCAAGGCUCUGAAAAAUAGCUCAGGGAAACAUAACGUUAGUGCUGCUAGGAGGACGGGUAGCUUUCUGUGAAAACAAUUCAAGUGAGCUUGGACAGAGAAGGCUGGUUACAGGUGUUGUGGGCUUGUUGAUUACUGUCAGUUUCAAGACCGCCUAGGUGUUUUGGGCUCAGAGAAUCUGGGUAACACCUUACGUGAAGAGUUCGUUCUAAGUGAAGGUGGGAGACAAAGGGAGAUGUUGGAUGCCUGUGUCUGGUGGAGAAGCUCAUCUGCUGGCCCGGCCUGUGAGUGGCAGAUGCGAGUCCUGCAAGCAAGGAAGGCUGGAAGCUGGGAAGAUAGAAGAAAAGAGGAUCUGGUUUGGGUGGAUACCGGAAGGAAACAGGCCCAGGCCUGAGCCUCUCUGUCCUGCUGGUUUUGCCCACCACCGUUGCCCUGCCUUGUACAGCUGGAGUGGGAACAUGCAGACAUUUUCCUUGGUCAGUUGGUGCGACGUGAAGCUUUGUUGGGAAAAAGGUGCUUUUGGGUAUAUUAGCAGCUAUAAUAAAUGAGAAGACUGCCUUGCCAGUAUUUGCUGAUAGAGCGCAAGCCCUUUUUGUUUGAAGGUUUCAGGUCCCAACUAUUCAUUUGUAUAAC